UAGGCGCUGCACAUUGGAGGAUACUUCAGAAGGGGAGCUUCUCAAGCAUUACCAAGUCAAGCACAGUAUUUAUGGAUGUGGCUGAGCUGAACCAAAACCAACUAAUCACCAAUUAAAGAAGAGAGACAGCCCAGUCAUUAAGGACUUGAUGUGGAGAACUUUUGCACAUAGAGGAACAUACGACAUACAAAUGAGCAUCAGUGACAUGAAGCACAGGUGGCCUACCUUGUUUAAUGUCUCACAGGAGAGGAAGGUGCCAGAAGGGAGGUGAAAGGACACCAAAACUGAUGUCCUUGUUUCCAGCAAGGAAAAGCGAUGUCAGAGCAACAAUUCAAGCACAGAUGUGAUGAGCAGGCACAGCAACAGCCACAAUAGCCACAAUCUUACAUACAGCCCCCUAAGUGUAGAAGUUCAUGUGUUGAUGUUUCCAUAAGUGUCAGAAUGUCAUCAAAAUGUCCUUCUUUGUGCAUUUGAGCCACAUGCUGCAUCCAUUUCAGCCAUAUACUCAUAUGCUCAUGUUGAUGUACCCUGAGGUUAUAUAUUUCAAAUAGAGAUUUCUCAGACUC